UCCCAUAUGGUCUAGUAGUUAGGAUCCGGCGCUCUCACCGCCUUGGCCUGGGUUUGAUUCCCUGUGUCGGAA
rfam:Nematostella vectensis strain CH2 x CH6 NEMVEscaffold_129_Cont14640, whole genome shotgun sequence.